rnacentral:rRNA from 1 species
CAGUAGCCGCGGUAAUACGAAGGGUGCAAGCGUUACUCGGAAUUACUGGGCGUAAAGCGUGCGUGGGUGGUGGUUUAAGUCCGUUGUGAAAGCCCUGGGCUCAACCUGGGAAUUGCAGUGAUACUGGGUCACUAGAGUGUGGUAGAGGAUAGUGGAAUUUCCGGUGUAGCAGUGAAAUGCGUAGAGAUCGGAAGGAACAUCUGUGGCGAAGGCGACUAUCUGGGCCAACACUGACACUGAAGCACGAAAGCGUGGGGAGCAAACAGGAUUAGAUACCCCCGUAGUCCCUGUCUCUUAUACA